UACGUAGGGGGCUAGCGUUAUCCGGAAUUACUGGGCGUAAAGGGUGCGUAGGCGGUCUUUCAAGCCAGAAGUGAAAGGCUACGGCUCAACCGUAGUAAGCCUUUGAAACUGGGAAACUUGAGUGCAGGAGAGGAGAGUGGAAUUCCUAGUGUAGCGGUGAAAUGCGUAGAUAUUAGGAGGAACACCAGUUGCGAAGGCGGCUCUCUGGACUGUAACUGACGCUGAGGCACGAAAGCGUGGGGAGCAAACAGGAUUAGAUACCCGGGUAGUCCCUGAGCGGG
rnacentral:rRNA from 1 species